rnacentral:tRNA from 1 species
GCCGCACUAGCUCAUCCGGUAGAGCACCUGUUUCGUAAAUAGGGGGUAGGGGGUUCGAGUCCCUCGUGCGGCA